UACGUAGGGGGCGAGCGUUGUCCGGAUUUAUUGGGCGUAAAGAGCGUGUAGGCGGUUCGGUAAGUCUGUCGUGAAAUCCUGAGGCUCAACCUCGGACGUGCGAUGGAUACUGCCGGGCUAGAGGAUGGUAGAGGCGAGUGGAAUUCCCGGUGUAGCGGUGAAAUGCGCAGAUAUCGGGAGGAACACCGGUGGCGAAGGCGGUUCUCUGGGCCUUACCUGACGCUGAGGAGCGAAAGCGUGGGGAGCGAACAGG
rnacentral:rRNA from 1 species